rfam:Ciona savignyi cont_62747, whole genome shotgun sequence.
GGCGCCAUGGCUUAGUGGUAAAGCGCCCGUCUUGUAAACAGGACAUCCUGGGUUCGAUCCCCAGUGUUGCCU